UGCUAGGUGCUCGGGCUUUACGCUUACCAGUGAAGAUUCGUCUGAGGUAGCGUUUUUGCUAGUUGAAAACUACAACUAUGACUGCUCCAGUUGGCCUUCGGGUCGGCUGGGAAUUUUUGAAACCUUUACACUUUUUUGUGCUUUUCGUUGAUUUUUGCGGCCUUGAGCUGCAUGAUCGAAGAAG
rnacentral:snRNA from 18 species